GGGCUCUCCCUCCUCGGAGGCGCCUUGGCCGUGCCGGGCCUGCGGUCGGACCUGCCACCCUGCCCCGUCCGCCCCCGUGAUGGGGACCGGGCCGCCGAGUGCACAGCGCUUGUGCGAGCGGGUCCCCCCUGAGCUGUCGGAGGGGCGGGUGUCCGCGGGGAGGGGGCAGCGCCCUCGGCUCCCCUCGGCAGACUCGCCGUGGACAAAAAUCCUUUCACCUGGAAUAGGAACUCCGCGGAGAUGAUAAAUCUUCUUGCCCCCUCGUCUGGCUUUCAGAAACGACGCCUGCCACUUACGGUAUGAAAAAUGCCGGCGAGCCGGCUGCGAGCGGCACGUGGUAAAAAGGUUAGUCCCCGUACCUCGGGCUCACAACCCGCCACCCUGCCCCCACCCCGCACACAAAGCCUUUUCUUUCUCCAGCUGGAACCACGAACACCACAUGAAUGCAAAGAGCUCUUUCAACCUUAGAUUUUAAAUUAUUUGAAUUAAAGCUGGGAUCCUUCCGGGCCUUGUGCUUUCCUGGUUAUUUAUCACUGGCUAAAUGUACGGGUCUGCCGAGCAUCUCCAGGGACCGCCCUCACUUAGACGCGGCCUCGGAGAUGUUAUAAACUAUUUAAAACCGAAGGCUUGGCCGUGUCUGGCUGCAGGGAGGGCGAGCACGCUCUGCUCGUCGGAAGCUCUUUGGGAAAACGGGGGACUCGCCACUCGGUCAUUCGCCCUGGCUUUCCUCUGGGGACACCCCAGCCACCCCGAUUUGCUGACACUUCCGCCGGGCGCCAGCAGGGGGCGGGAGACCCUCUUUUUUGAGGGCCACACUAAGGUGCUCCCGCCGGACCCGCCAUGGGUCUGGGGCAGGCAGGGUGACUGUCGACACCGAGACCCGGGGACGAGGGAGGCCGAGAUGGCUCCCCUGGGUGCCUGGGGAGAGGACGGCUCAGGUCAGGGACGCGACACGUUGAAGCCAUCAGAACGGGCAGCAGCAGCGGUUUAAGUUCACGAGGCCAGCGGAGAGCCCCCCGCUAAUCUGUCAGGGACCCCACUGCCGCUGAGGAAACAGAGGCCAGAGAGGCCACGCUUGGGUGACCAGCGCUCCGGUGGAUGUGGACAGCCUCCAAGGUAUAAAAGGGCUGUGGCUCCCGACCUGGGCGAGACGCCUCACGCGGCGAGGGAUGGAGGCCUGCCCACAGGCCCGUGUGUGAACUUGGAAGCAGACCCCCCC